CACCACGAAGGCCUGCUGGAUUCUACCCUCACCAACCGUAUCCUACCAAUGCUGUUGGUUAUUUAAAGCUAUUCUUUACCGACAACAUGAUUGAGAUUAUUAGAACAAACACUUAACAUCAACGGUGAGGAUAAUUGUAAAAAAAGCUACAGAAGCAAAUCUGGAGGACGGCGAGGGGAGGGUAUAGUUUUUGUCCAGAACCGGUUGACGAGAUGAACUCACUGAUAGGGCUCUUGAUCUACAUGGGACUUGCAAAGACUGUCUUGAGAAGCUCUACACCAAGGAGAUGUUGGAGAAAAAUGAGAUGGUUAUAAAGGAAAGUCUCAAUCAAAAGUGUAGGGAGACAAGAGUAGCUGUCAAGUCGAAGGCUCAAUCAGAGAGACUAGCAGCAAUAGGACACAGUCUUUGCAGCUCAGAGGAGGAAGAUUAGCAGUAGAGACUAGAGUUUAGCUAUAUCUGGAAAGUUAUUGUGCUUGAGAGUUUCAUGGAGAAUAGAAGAUGUAUGUAUACAUGUAAGUACUCUGGCGCAUGCGCCAACAGUUUGCUUCCAUUUUCAUGCAUGUCCUUGCUCAAGUUCUUGACGAGUAUUUUAGUAAGUACUUGCAGUGACUUGUAAAGUCCUUGGUUGAUCUCGGUAAGGACUUACCAAGACUUAGUAAGUCUUGUCUAGAUCUGGGACAAGUUCUUGUAAGGAUUUGCCUGGCCAAAUCCUUGCCCAAGAACUUCAACCCUGGCACCCUCGUUAGGCUACUUUCCUUCCUAGUCCAGGUUUGCGAACAAGUAAUUCGUUUGCUUCUGCUAUUGUACUGAAAACGCCCUGACCUGCACGUGUCGGAACAAGAAUAUUAGUGGGCGUGUUAUUGCCAGGAUGUGUGUGUGUGUGUGUGUGUGUGUGU